rnacentral:lncRNA from 1 species
AAUUACAUCCUUUACAAAAAAAAAAAAAGCCUUUUUUAAUCUAAAUAUCUGAAUCGCAAGUGUAUCUCGCUAUUUAGCAUCGGAUCAAAAUUCGAUUUCACAAUUAUUUUCUAGGGACCUCCAACUAUCAUUACAUAACCAUAAUUUUCAACAGCUUUCAUUUCUUACAUUUUUGUCCUCAACACAUGCAGCAACUGUCAUGAGUACUUUUAAUUCAAUCACUUUGAACUCAUCUUUAUCAACAAUCAAGUCUAAAAUCCAUUGUACUUUCGCAAUCAAGCUUUUUCUCUCUCUAAUUUCCCAAGCAUUUCUCCUUUCAAUCUUAACAUAUAUUGAAUGGGUUCACUUAUUUAUACCACUUAAACCAUAAUCUAGCGAGAAUUGAUGAAGAAAUUACUUACUUCCUUGGUGGGAGCUCGCGGCAUGGAGAAUACGAUGAUCAAUAUUUCUUUUUCUCUUUCUUUUGGGGAAGAGAAAGAUACUUUUCUUUUAUAAUUAAAUUCAAUAAUCCUUUAAUGUAGAUAUACUAAAGUUGCUAACUUGGUGUAAAUUGAUGGAUAGGAUCGAGCUUCUCCACUAAGCUUACUUUUAAUAGUAGCUAAUUAUGCUUAGGACCUUGGUUUAAUACUUUACCCGAUCCUUAAAUUUU